rnacentral:rRNA from 1 species
GACGAACGCUGGCGGCGUGCUUAACACAUGCAAGUCGAACGGUGAAGCUCCAGCUUGCUGGAGUGGAUCAGUGGCGAACGGGUGAGUAACACGUGAGCAACCUGCCCCUGACUCUGGAAUAAGCGCUGGAAACGGCGUCUAAUACUGGAUACGAGAAGGUGCCGCAUGGGCACUUUCUGGAAAGUUUGUCGGUUGGGGAUGGGCUCGCGGCCUAUCAGCUUGUUGGUGAGGUAAUGGCUCACCAAGGCGACGACGGGUAGCCGGCCUGAGAGGGCGACCGGCCACACUGGGACUGAGAUACGGCCCAGACUCCUACGGGAGGCAGCAGUGGGGAAUAUUGCACAAUGGGCGAAAGCCUGAUGCAGCGACGCCGCGUGCGGGAUGACGGCCUUCGGGUUGUAAACCUCUUUCAGCAGGGAAGAAGCGAAAGUGACGGUACCUGCAGAAGAAGCACCGGCUAACUACGUG